AAAUUUCAGUUUUAGCACUCUAAAACUCAGAAAGGAAACAAUCGUAAUAAAAAAUUGUUUUUAUAAAAAAACUAUUGUAUUUGACCUCAGGUCGAUUCCAACUAAGCACUUUUUUUAUAAAAAAAAAAUUAGUAAAACAUAUCAGAACGAUUUCAUAUAAUAAAUAUUUUAUUAAAAUAAUUAAAAAUUAUAUGAGAAAGAUUUUAAUUUGUUUCUAAUAUUAGUUGUUGUAUAACAUUUGCAAAAAGAUAAAUAAGCUACCGCAACGAAAU
rnacentral:lncRNA from 1 species